rnacentral:misc_RNA from 1 species
UCGAAUCGGAACCAAGUCGAGAUUGUCGCUGGCUCAGGCAUGUGCACGUCUUUGCUUGAUUUCUUUCAUCACACCUGUGCACCCUUUGUAGGUCCUCGAAAGAGGAUCUAUGUUUCAUUACACACACGCGUCGCAUGUCCAUAGAAUGUCAAUGAUACAUAAUA